GGUGAUUUGCAGAACCUGUAAUGAAACUGUGCGAUAUUUUAUGGGUUUCUUCUGCCUUUAUUGCCACGUGGGGUGCGGGACAGCAUCGGCUGCUGCAGAGAUCGUGGUGCUGAUCUGCUCAGUGAGAAGCACCGGAGGAGAAAAGCAGUUAAAAAGGCUGUUUAUGAAAUGUGGCAGUGUCAGGAGGAACACCCAAACUCAGGUUCUCAUUCAAAGGAUUGAAAUUGAAUUUGCAACAGAGCUAAGGCGUUGAAAUGCUCUGAGGAUCUCUGUCCUACUCUGGAAGAAAUGAAGAAAGCUUGGGUAUAGCAAAAGCUGUUCCCUCAAACACAGCUCUCAGAGACAUCCAGAUGCCUCAGCACAUAAAGCACAGAGCCACAACUACAAACAGUUUAUGAAAUACCUGAGGAGAAAAUGUGUCUGAGCGAUGUGAGAGCACAGUGUAAACAGUCAUUAGGAUAUAUUCACCAUUGUGCUGCCUGAUCUCCAGAUGAGCCACUCCAGGAACACUGAGCCUGUCAUCUCCCAGGAAAUCAAAGCUCACUGCCAUCCCAGGAGCCACCAGAGCAGUUCAAUCACGAACAGCUCCCGACAAAAAGGGCUCCUCAUCCUGCCCUGAGGAAUUCAGCUCUACAGAACUCUGGGAGAACCAAACCCCCACAGCAGCGUGAGCUCAGUUUGACAGGUGAUAAUUAACUGCUGAUAAUAUAAUUGCCGUUUUGAGGCAAAAAUGGGUUUCAUUAAAAACUACUUAGCAUUUGCAUGGCAUGGGACAGCCUCCUCCAAGUAGGAAUGUUCAGAGUUCAGUCGCUACUGGCAAGUUUACCUCAUGCUGAACAUGGAUCCUGCAGGGGAAAUCCAAGGGUCCCAUCUUCCCAGGGAGUUGGAGAUGAUUUGUCACUUUCCAGGGCUUCGGAUCUGAGGGCUGCAGUGGCCCAGGCAGUGCCCCUGGGAGGGAAUUGCUGUGUCAGCCACAGCAGCCUCCAGGAAAUGGAGGGAAUUAAAGUCCCUGGAAGGGGCCCUUCCCUUCAGAGGGGAGGAUUGGAUCUUUCCAUGAUCAUGGAUAUUGCAGGGUCGGUCAGGAUCAGGAUGUGAUACCCUGGGCUGGUUUGAGGGGAUUGUACUUGAUACAGGGGGGCACAGUUAGAAGGGAUCAGCUCAUUGCCUCUGAGGGUCUGGGGCACAUCCUGGCUCAAAGUUACCACUGGAUGUUCCAGAGAGGAAAACAGUCAGAGACCCCUGUGACCCCUCCCGUGAGUGCCCAGGGAUCCUUUAAUGCUGCCAUUCCUUCUGGCUGCAGUCCUUCUCUGCUCCUGCCUCCAGGUGGGGAGCACGCAGUGUGGAGCUGUCCCCAACCCCUUCCUGUCCCCAUUCCUGCUGACCAGGGGUGUGGAACUGUCCCCAACCCCUUCCUGUCCCCAUUCCUGCUGCACAGGGGUGUGGAGCUGUCCUCAGCCCCUUCCUGUCCCCAUUCCUGCUGACCAGGGGUGUGGAACUGUCCUUCCCUUCCUGCCUGACCAUGGCUGUCCUUGGCAUUGGGAAGUCCCAGCCUGAUUUUGGGAAGGAACAGAAUAGAAUCACAGCUUCUGCUCAGAGCUUCUGGUGCUGCUCAUUGCACAAGAAAAAGUCAAAUUACCCAGAUCAAGGAGAGAGGCUGUGGCCACGACCUGAGAAGAAUCAGACUCAUUAACUUGCAGAUUUCCCCACCUUCUGGGUUUCCAAACAUGCAAGUGUUCUAUACUAAAUUAUGCUUCUCAAAGGUUAAUUUUUAAUAAGGCAGUAAAUGUAUUUAAACAAUGAUUAUUAACAAAAAAAUGUGUGAGGUUUGCAAUGUAAGAGGUAAUUAUCUUCUCCAGAAUAGUUCUAACAAUGCAGUUCCUUCUUGUCUGCAAUGAUCCUUUGGUAUUUGUUUAACCUGCAGUAAGAUUCUUAUUAAACCCAGCUGAAAUGGGUGUAAUUCGAGGCAUCACAGCACAUUUCAAGAAAAACAGCUCUGGUUGAACCGAGGUCCUUUCCCUGCCAGUUACAGCUGUCUUUUAUGUCACAGUGACUUGUCCCCAAGCUCUUGAGCUCCACCAGAGGCAGCUGCAGAGCAGUGCCCAGGUUUGGCACUUCAAGCUCAGUCCCAAACCAAUGAAAUCCCCACUGUCUGUCCAAAUCCCCUGUCCAUGUUCCCCAUGGACAUUUCACCCAGCAGGGCAGGAGCUGCUCCCUUGCUGCAGAUGGACCUGGAAGAGUGGAAAUAUCCCAGUCCAGGGGGAUGAUCAGCAAUCCUUCCAUUCGGAGACAUCCCAGAGCUGCUGCAGCAGAGGCAGGCAGAGGCAAAGCCCUUCCCAGCACUCUCUGAGCAAGAGGCUCCUGAGGGGAGGGGGUGAAUUUCCCCUGUCCCACGUGUGUGUCCUGUGGUGACCCCACCAAAAGCUGCAGCUCCAACUCUGCUGGUGCUGCUGUCUCAGCCUGGAGUCUCUGCGAGGGUUUUUUCCCCACAAUAGCGUCUCUUUCAUGGAUGAUUGGUAAUAGAAGUUCCAUUAUGAGAUCACAAAACACUGGGGGAUAUGUUAAUGUGCUUCAGCGUGUAAUCCAGAAUAAUAUCAUUGCAAGGAAUUGCAUUUUGUCUGCAACUGAGGCAGCAAAUAGGAGCUGCUUCUUUUCCAUCAUUAAUAUCCAUUGCUGAAUUAAUGCUUUCCUUCCCACAAUCCUGGGUAAAAUUGCCCAAAUGUGCAUUGUGCUGAUUUAUACAGGAUGUGUCACCUGCUUUUCGCUGGGGAAGCAAACCUUUGGGGCUGAGCAGGGCUCCCCUGACCUCACCAGGAGCUGCUUUGGGUGACCAAAGUCCUGCACCAGGAGCUUCAGCCAGGGUCACAUGAGGACAGGCUCUCCUCCUGUGGUAAACUGAAGAUGUGCCCUCCUCCUGGGGCCUGUCUGUGAUAAAUUGAAGAAAUAUCCCAAAUCCUGUGGCCUGUCCUGUGUUAAAUUUCAGAAAUGUCCCCAGUCCUGUGGCCUGUGUUAAAUUUCAGAAAUGCCCAAAUCCUGUGGCCUGUCCUGUGUUAAAUUUCAGAAAUGCCCCCAGUUCUAUGGCCUGUCUGUGUUAAAUUUCAGAAAUGCCCAAAUUGUGUGGCCUGUCCUGUAUUAAACUUCAGAAAUGCCCCCAGUUCUGUGGCCUGUCCUGUGUUAAAUUUCAGGAAUUCCCCAGUCCUGAGGCUGUUGUGGUACCAAAGCCCUGCUGGGCUCCCAGCAGCAGCUCCACUCCCAUCGAUUGGUGCAGCUCUGUCAGACAGAGCCUUGCUCCAUAAAAAACACUGGGAUUCUCAGCUGGAAAGCAUCCAAGAACGACUAAAAGGUUUCUCGAGCAUAUUUUAUUAUUUUUUGGUAGCAGAAUUCCCACUCCUCCUCCCUGAAGUGCUAUACAUCUCUCUAAUGCAAAUCCCAUUAAUCCACGAACUGUCCAACCCAACAUUCAGGGAGUCCUGCAUUGAUCCAUCCCUGAUAUGUGACAGCUCCAGCCAUAUUUCAGGUGAUCAGGGAAGGCUUUAUCCUGUCCUUGCUCUGAAAAAGCAGCAGCACGUUUCAAAUUUCCCGUAUUCUGUGGACAAACCAGCUGGAAUUGUGAGCCACAGAUGCUCACUUGACAGAUGGACUCCUGGCCAUG